rnacentral:rRNA from 1 species
GAUGAACGCUGGCGGCGUGCUUAACACAUGCAAGUCGAGCGGGCAAUUUAUCUAGCACUGAUUACUUCAAAUGGCUAUCGCCAGUGUAAUCAUGAAUUUCUACCUUUUAAUAAAGAAAAAAGAAAUUCAUGUACGCAAAUAGUGAUAACACAUUUUAGUGGAGUGAUGAGUGCUGGAUAAAUUGCUAGCGGCGGACGGGUGCGUAACACGUGGGUAACCUGCCCCUAUCACUGGGAUAACACACUGAAAAGUGUGCUAAUACCAGAUAACAUAAGCUUUUGGCAUCAUUAGCUUAUCAAAGAAUUUCGGAUAGGGAUGGGCCCGCGUCUGAUUAGCUUGUUGGUGAGGUAACGGCUCACCAAGGCAACGAUCAGUAGCCGACCUGAGAGGGUGAUCGGCCACACUGGAACUGAGACACGGUCCAGACUCCUACGGGAGGCAGCAGUGGGGAAUAUUGCACAAUGGGCGAAAGCCUGAUGCAGCAACGCCGCGUGAGCGAUGAAGGCCUUCGGGUCGUAAAGCUCUGUCCUAUGGGAAGAUAAUGACGGUACCAUAGGAGGAAGCCCCGGCUAACUACGUGCCAGCAGCCGCGGUAAUACGUAGGGGGCAAGCGUUAUCCGGAAUUACUGGGCGUAAAGGGUGCGUAGGCGGUUUAUCAAGUCAGGGGUGAAAGGCUACGGCUCAACCGUAGUGAGCCUCUGAAACUGGUGAACUUGAGUGUAGGAGAGGAAAGUGGAAUUCCCAGUGUAGCGGUGAAAUGCGUAGAUAUUGGGAGGAACACCAGUGGCGAACGCGACUUUCUGGACUACAACUGACGCUGAGGCACGAAAGCGUGGGGAGCAAACAGGAUUAGAUACCC